rnacentral:rRNA from 1 species
UACGUAGGGUGCAAGCGUUGUCCGGAAUUAUUGGGCGUAAAGAGCUCGUAGGCGGUCUGUCGCGUCGGCUGUGAAAACCCGGGGCUCAACCCCGGGCCUGCAGUCGAUACGGGCAGACUAGAGUGUGGUAGGGGAGACUGGAAUUCCUGGUGUAGCGGUGAAAUGCGCAGAUGUCAGGAGGAACACCGGUGGCGAAGGCGGGUCUCUGGGCCGAUAUUGACGCUGAGGAGCGAAAGCGUGGGGAGCGAACAGG